rnacentral:siRNA from 1 species
UUGAUAAGCAGAUUGCCUUGGC